rnacentral:rRNA from 1 species
GACGAACGCUGGCGGCGUGCUUAACACAUGCAAGUCGAACGGAAAGGCCCUGCUUUUGUGGGGUGCUCGAGUGGCGAACGGGUGAGUAACACGUGAGUAACCUGCCCUUGACUUUGGGAUAACUUCAGGAAACUGGGGCUAAUACCGGAUAGGAGCUCCUGCUGCAUGGUGGGGGUUGGAAAGUUUCGGCGGUUGGGGAUGGACUCGCGGCUUAUCAGCUUGUUGGUGGGGUAGUUGCUUACCAAGGCUUUGACGGGUAGCCGGCCUGGGAGGGUUAACGGCGACAAUGGGACUGAGAGAGGGAGCAGAAGGCAACGGGAGGCAACAGGGGGGAAUAUUGCACAAUGGGCGGGAGCGUGAGACAGAAACGCCGCGUGCGGAAUGACGGGCUUCGGGGUGUAAACAGAUGUCGACUGAGACGAAGAGGGAGUGACGGUAAUGAGUAAAGAAGCACCGGCUAACUACGUG